GGGACCCCUGGGCCGCACCAGGAGGGUUCUGUGAUGUCACUGAAGAAACGGAUGCAGGUUAAGUUACCUACCGGCUUGUGAUGCGUUGCUGUGCUCGCAACAGAAUGGCACACUCGUAAAUCUUCUACAAGGAAAUUUUCUGAGGGUGGAUCAUUAUUUACAAAUGACAAUUCUGCUAUUACAACAACAGUAACAGCCUGUGAUUAAUAACAAUCAAGACACUCGUCAGAAAGAAUUAGUGUUUUGAAGGGAUGUAAGGUGCAGUAAAUAUUCUCCAAAAGUAACAAAGUAAAAGGUGAAAAACAACAAAAGAGAAUAGAGAAAGGUUCUCAAGCUGUCCCUUUCACAAAGAGUGUGGCUGAAUACAGAUGUGGCUGCUGUGAAGUUUUAUAUGGAUGGAUGGGCUGAACAAAAAACAGGAUCUUCUGAUUUAAAGAAAAUACCGAUAUGAGAAAA